UACGGGGGGGGCAAGCGUUGUUCGGAAUUACUGGGCGUAAAGGGCUCGUAGGUGGCCAACUAAGUCAGACGUGAAAUCCCUCGGCUUAACCGGGGAACUGCGUCUGAUACUGGAUGGCUUGAGUUUGGGAGAGGGAUGCGGAAUUCCAGGUGUAGCGGUGAAAUGCGUAGAUAUCUGGAGGAACACCGGUGGCGAAGGCGGCAUCCUGGGCCAACACUGACACUGAGGAGCGAAAGCGUGGGGAGCGAACAGG
rnacentral:rRNA from 1 species